rnacentral:rRNA from 1 species
UACAGGGGGGGCAAGCGUUGUUCGGAAUUACUGGGCGUAAAGGGCCAGUAGGCGGCCAACUAAGUCCGACGUGAAAUCCCCAGGCUUAACCUGGGAACUGCGUCGGAUACUGGAUGGCUUGAAUUCGGGAGAGGGAUGCAGAAUUCCAGGUGUAGCGGUGAAAUGCGUAGAUAUCUGGAGGAAUACCGAUGGCGAAGGCAGGUCUCUGGGCCAAUACUGACGCUCAUGCACGAAAGCGUGGGGAGCAAACAGG